rnacentral:rRNA from 1 species
CGCGUAGGAAUCUACCUUUCGGUGGGGAGUAGCCGGUCGAAACCGGAAUUAAUACCGCAUAAGCCCUACGGGGAAACGGAGGCCACUUCUUGAAGACUUCGACCGAUAGAUGAGCCUGCGUUAGAUUAGCUAGUUGGUAAGGUAAUGGCUUACCAAGGCGACGAUCUAUAGCUGGUCUGAGAGGAUGAUCAGCCACACUGGAAUUGAGACACGGUCCAGACUCCUACGGGAGGCAGCAGUGGGGAAUAUUGGACAAUGGGCGCAAGCCUGAUCCAGCAAUACCGCGUGUGUGAAGAAGGG